GAGAGAGAGAGAGAGGGAACCGAGCUCUCCCUUUCCCCCACGAUCUCUCUAGAUUUCUCUUUCUAGAUUUUUUCCAAACUUGGGGUUUUGGUGAAGUUUGAGCUCAGGAACGCGUAUAGAACGAUAAAUCGAGCUCGUGCGCGAGAUGAGGCUUGGUGCGCUCGUGGAUCUGAUGGGUUAGUCGGAUUAAAGGUUAGAGGAGAUCCCCCGACAACUUUAACUUGGAAAUCGACGGGCGUUCGGUGACCAAUUUUGAGUAACGAGCCAAACUGAACGACGUUGGCUGCGGGAGUCUGAUUGCAAGUGUUUACAAGCAAUCGAAAGCGUUGUGAAGUGGGUUGUGCUUUACCGAAGUGAUUAGAUUACUUCCAUAUCAAAAGGUAAAGUAUGAUAUUAUUAUUGAUGCAUGUAUAUAAUGGUCGGUUGUAUGUGGUAAAUAUGAAUGUAUAAAUCAUUUGUUAUUAGAUGAAAUUAUCUACCAUUGGACAAGAAAAUUAGGCAUGUGAAAAUAUA